UUAUUGGUUCAGUUAGUGUGUUUAACAGCAAUCAGUGAAGCUGAUCUUCCGAUCACGCCCCAGUGAGGGAAUUAAGGACGGCACAUUGUCCUUGUAACGGGGAUCCAGCAGGGUGGCCACCCAGUAAUCAGCACAAGUUAGAAUGUGGGCAACUCAGCAGUCGUUGCGCAGGCACUUUGGUGACUCUAGAUAACCUCGUGCCAAUCGCACAUCCCCAUGACAGCGACGACAGCGACGGAUGUCUGCCCUAUCAGCUUUCUAUGGUACUUUCUGCGCCUACCAUGGUGACCACGGGUAACGGGGAAUCAAGGUUCGAUUCCGGA